rnacentral:rRNA from 1 species
AGUGGCGAACGGGUGAGUAAUACAUCGGAACGUGCCCUGUAGUGGGGGAUAACUAGUCGAAAGAUUAGCUAAUACCGCAUACGACCUGAGGGUGAAAGUGGGGGACCGCAAGGCCUCAUGCUAUAGGAGCGGCCGAUGUCUGAUUAGCUAGUUGGUGAGGUAAAGGCUCACCAAGGCGACGAUCAGUAGCUGGUCUGAGAGGACGAUCAGCCACACUGGGACUGAGACACGGCCCAGACUCCUACGGGAGGCAGCAGUGGGGAAUUUUGGACAAUGGGCGAAAGCCUGAUCCAGCAAUGCCGCGUGUGUGAAGAAGGCCUUCGGGUUGUAAAGCACUUUUGUCCGGAAAGAAAUGGCUCUGGUUAAUACCUGGGGUCGAUGACGGUACCGGAAGAAUAAGGACCGGCUAACUACGUGCCAGCAGCCGCGGUAAUACGUAGGGUCCAAGCGUUAAUCGGAAUUACUGGGCGUAAAGCGUGCGCAGGCGGUUGUGCAAGACCGAUGUGAAAUCCCCGAGCUUAACUUGGGAAUUGCAUUGGUGACUGCACGGCUAGAGUGUGUCAGAGGGGGGUAGAAUUCCACGUGUAGCAGUGAAAUGCGUAGAGAUGUGGAGGAAUACCGAUGGCGAAG